rnacentral:rRNA from 1 species
GACGAACGCUGGCGGCGUGCUUAACACAUGCAAGUCGAACGAAGAGCGACGGAAGCUUGCUUCCAUCAAUCUUAGUGGCGAACGGGUGAGUAACGCGUAAUCAACCUGCCCUUCAGAGGGGGACAACAGUUGGAAACGACUGCUAAUACCGCAUACGAUCUGACCUCGGCAUCGAGGAUAGAUGAAAGGUGGCCUCUAUUUAUAAGCUAUCACUGAAGGAGGGGAUUGCGUCUGAUUAGCUAGUUGGAGGGGUAACGGCCCACCAAGGCGAUGAUCAGUAGCCGGUCUGAGAGGAUGAACGGCCACAUUGGGACUGAGACACGGCCCAGACUCCUACGGGAGGCAGCAGUGGGGAAUCUUCCGCAAUGGACGAAAGUCUGACGGAGCAACGCCGCGUGAGUGAUGACGGCCUUCGGGUUGUAAAGCUCUGUUAAUCGGGACGAAAGGCCUUCUUGCGAAUAGUUAGGAGGAUGACGGUACCGGA